rnacentral:misc_RNA from 1 species
UUUCCGUAGGUGAACCUGCGGAAGGAUCAUUAGUGAAUUGAGUAUGUUAGCGGACCUCUUCGGAGUCCCUAGCAUCAAAUCAUAUCCAUAACACCCGUGAACUGUAAGACUGUCUUGAAAACGAAAGUGAUUACAGCGCCUGCCCAUUAUAUACAAACAUUCAAGUAACAAGCGUAGUCUUAUUAGAAUCUAAUAAAACUUUCAACAACGGAUCUCUUGGUUCUC